AUUGAACGCUGGCGGCAGGCCUAACACAUGCAAGUCGAACGAGUGGCGGACGGGUGAGUAAUGUCUGGGAAACUGCCUGAUGGAGGGGGAUAACUACUGGAAACGGUAGCUAAUACCGCAUACCAUCGGAUGUGCCCAGAUGGGAUUAGCUAGUAGGUGGGGUAACGGCUCACCUAGGCGACGAUCCCUAGCUGGUCUGAGAGGAUGACCAGCCACACGGGAACUGAGACACGUGCCAGACUCCGACGGGAGGCAGCAGUGGGGAAUAGUGCACAAUGGGCGCAAGCCUGAUGCAGCCAUGCCGAGUGUAUGAAGAAGGCCUUCGGGUUGUAAAGUACUUUCAGCGGGGAGGCGUUACCCGCAGAAGAAGCACCGGCUAACUCCGUGCCAGCAGCCGCGGUAAUUC
rnacentral:rRNA from 1 species